UUAAUUGGGCACUCUAAAGAGACUGCCGAUGCAAAUCGGAGGAAGGUGGGGAUGACGUCAAAUCAUCAUGCCCUUUAUGUCCUGGGCUACACACGUGCUACAAUGGUCGGUACAACGAGAAGCAAGUCAGCGAUGGCAAGCAAAUCUCUAAAAGCCGAUCCCAGUUCGGAUUGCAGGCUGCAACUCGCCUGCAUGAAGUCGGAGUUGCUAGUAAUCGCGGAUCAGAAUGCCGCGGUGAAUGCGUUCCCGGGUCUU
rnacentral:rRNA from 1 species